GGAUAUCUACAAUGUCCCUGGAGCAGAGCUUCAUGUACAAACUUGACAACUACACACCGAAACUUAUUACCCUGAUGAAGGCAAAGGGAGGUGUUUUGGGGACCACGCUGAGACCGUUUUUGUACAGACUAAGUCAGAACCAAAGCAUUGAGGAGAAACGUGACACUGUUAUCCGCAGCCUCAUUGUGUACCUGGGUGAGAAAGGGGAGGACCUUUUUGAAGAUUGCCAGGAGGACUGCCGCAGUGAUGCCAUGCAACAUGUCCUCAAAAUCCUGGUGGUUCAUGGUGCAGAGGAUCCAGCUGUGUCCAUCAUUGUUGAAGGAAAGGAGAUGA